CCUAAGGAGCCCGUACCGUAAACCGACACAGGUGGGUGAGUAGAAUAUACUAAGGCGCGUGAGUGAAACCUCUUUAAGGAACUCGGCAAUCUAGCCCCGUAACUUCGGAAGAAGGGGCGCCCCGUAAGGGGCCGCAGUGAAAUGGGUCAACCGACUGUUUAGCAAAAACACAGCACUCUGCCAAGUCGCAAGACGACGUAUAGGGUGUGACACGUGACCAAUGCUCCAAGAUUACGGUAAGGGGUUAGCCGCAAGGCGAAGCUCUGAGCCCAAGUCCGAGUGAAUGUCGGCCGUAACUAUAACGGUCCUAAGGUAGCGAAAUUCCUUGUCGGGUAAGUUCCGACCUGCACGAAUCGUGUAACGAGUUGACCGCUGUCUCAAAGAGGAGCUCAGCGAAGUUGUAGUGGCGGUGAAAAUGCCGCCUACCCGCAGAAGGACGGAAAGACCCCGUGCACCUUUACUGUAAGCUGUUACUGUAUUUUCUUUUAGGAUACUUAGCGUAAGUGGGAGGCUUUGAAGCUCAUCUUUCGGGGUGAGCUGAGCCGCCAAUGAAACACCACCUUUUCUGUAGGAAGAUACUAACCCUAUCCCGUCAUCCGGGUGGGGGACAAUGGCAGCAGGUCAGUUUGACUGGGGCGGUUUCCUCCGAAAAAGUAACGGAGGAGUGCUAUGGUUCUCUCAGCUUGGUUGGCAAUCAAGCGUCGAGCAUAUGGGUAGAAGAGAGCUUAACUGUGAGACAUACAAGUCGAACAGGUACGAAAGUAGGCCCAAGUGAUCCGGUGGUUGAAUGUGGAAUCGCCAUCGCUCAUCGGACAAAAGGUACGCCGGGGAUAACAGGCUGAUCGCUUCCAAGAGUUCAUAUCGACGAAGCGGUUUGGCACCUCGAUGUCGGCUCAUCGCAUCCUGGGGCUGAAGAAGGUCCCAAGGGUCCGGCUGUUCGCCGGUUAAAGCGGUACGCGAGCUGGGUUCAGAACGUCGUGAGACAGUUCGGUCCUCUAUCCUCUGUGGGCGCAGGAAAUUUGACGGGUUCACUCCUUAGUACGAGAGGACCGGGAGUGACGCACCUCUGGUGUUCCGGUUGUUAUGUCAAUAGCAUCGCCGGGUAGCUAUGUGCGGAAAGGAUAAGCGCUGAAAGCAUCUAAGCGCCAAGCCUAUCCGAAGAUAAGAUUUCCCUAUUAGGGUCGUGGUAGACUACCACGUUGAUAGGACGCAUGUGUAAGCAUGGUAACAUGUUUAGCUAAGCGUUACUAAUUACUC
rnacentral:rRNA from 1 species